rnacentral:rRNA from 1 species
AACACAUGCAAGUCGAGGGGAAACGACAUCGAAAGCUUGCUUUUGAUGGGCGUCGACCGGCGCACGGGUGAGUAACGCGUAUCCAACCUGCCCACCACUUGGGGAUAACCUUGCGAAAGUAAGACUAAUACCCAAUGAUAUCUCUAGAAGACAUCUGAAAGAGAUUAAAGAUUUAUCGGUGAUGGAUGGGGAUGCGUCUGAUUAGCUUGUUGGCGGGGUAACGGCCCACCAAGGCGACGAUCAGUAGGGGUUCUGAGAGGAAGGUCCCCCACAUUGGAACUGAGACACGGUCCAAACUCCUACGGGAGGCAGCAGUGAGGAAUAUUGGUCAAUGGGCGAGAGCCUGAACCAGCCAAGUAGCGUGCAGGAUGACGGCCCUAUGGGUUGUAAACUGCUUUUAUAAGGGAAUAAAGUGAGUCUCGUGAGACUUUUUGCAUGUACCUUAUGAAUAAGGACCGGCUAAUUCCGUGCCAGCAGCCGCGGUAAUACGGAAGGUCCGGGCGUUAUCCGGAUUUAUUGGGUUUAAAGGGAGCGUAGGCCGGAGAUUAAGCGUGUUGUGAAAUGUAGAUGCUCAACAUCUGAACUGCAGCGCGAACUGGUUUCCUUGAGUACGCACAAAGUGGGCGGAAUUCGUGGUGUAGCGGUGAAAUGCUUAGAUAUCACGAAGAACUCCGAUUGCGAAGGCAGCUCACUGGAGCGCAACUGACGCUGAAGCUCGAAAGUGCGGGUAUCGAACAGGAUUAGAUACCCUGGUAGUCCGCACGGUAAACGAUGGAUGCCCGCUGUUGGUCUGAAUAGGUCAGCGGCCAAGCGAAAGCAUUAAGCAUCCCACCUGGGGAGUACGCCGGCAACGGUGAAACUCAGAAGGAAUUGACGGAA